GUGCGAAAUACGACGGAAUACUUGGUAAAAUGGAAAGGAUAUAGUGCCUUCCAAAAUACAUGGGAAGAGGAAGAUAAUUUAACUGCUGAUCUCAUAAGGAGUUAUAACAAGCCAUGUAUUCCACCUGAGAGAUUAUGUAGGAAUCUCGACUUUCUACAGGUGGCUCUGACAACAAAGUUAAAGUCAAAGAACAGGAACAAGUUAAUUUUAGAUUUU